rnacentral:rRNA from 1 species
ACAACUUUCAGCAAUGGAUCUCUUGGCUCUCGCAUCGAUGAAGAACGCAGCGAAUUGCGAUAAGUAAUGUGAAUUGCAGAUUUUCAGUGAAUCAUCGAAUCUUUGAACGCACCUUGCGCUCCUUGGUAUUCCGAGGAGCAUGCCUGUUUGAGUGUC